AUACGGAGGGUGCAAGCGUUGUUCGGAAUUAUUGGGCGUAAAGCGCGUGUAGGCGGUCUGUUAAGUCUGGUGUGAAAGCCCUGGGCUCAACCCAGGAAGUGCAUUGGAUACUGACAGACUUGAGUAUGGGAGAGGAAAGCGGAAUUCCGAGUGUAGGAGUGAAAUCCGUAGAUAUUCGGAGGAACACCAGUGGCGAAGGCGGCUUUCUGGACCAAUACUGACGCUGAGACGCGAAAGCGUGGGGAGCAAACAGGAUUAGAUACCCUUGUAGUCC
rnacentral:rRNA from 1 species